ensembl:lincRNA
CUGGGGUCCAACUUACAUGAUUAACUUGGUAAUAUUUCAUCCAAAUCUUCCUCUGCUAAAAGGCUUCUAUAUUUCACAUCAGGAUGUUGAUUAACUAACCAUCUGCUCAGAAGUCUGUCAUCGACCUGAUGAUUUCUUAUUCUCUCCAGACUCAAGACUUUGCCAAGGUUCUCAUGAGUCAAGCCCUGACCUUGAAGGCGAAAGGCUCACAAUGCCUCGCUCUUUAAUUGGUUCCGUUGUCCAUCUGGAAAGACCAAAGAACUUCCUACAUGAGGCACAAACAAAACAGAAACAUGCGCUGCAGCUGCCCCUGGGAGUCAAGCAGCCAGACUGUGAGAAAGGGGGCCCCACACUGUCCCAGCACCUUGAGAUGACACAACCAGAAGCUUCUCCUGUUCACAGAUGUCUUGUCAGAGUCUGGGGACCUGCAGGACUGGGCAGCGCUCGGCACAGGUUCAAUAUGGCAGCAUCUUUCAUCCCCACCAUGACAACAAGCUCAUCUUCCUGCCUCUGCCUCUAG